GAUCCCAUCAGAACUCCGAAGUUAAGCGUGCUUGGGCGAGAGUAGUACUAAGUUGGGUGACCACUUGGGAAGUCCUCGUGUUGCACCCCUUUUUCAUAACUAUUUUCUUUAAUCCUUCCAUUUUAUUUCUUUCUCCCACCCACCGUGUCUUCACGCUGUGCGUUUGCUCAUGCACACGCUCGCGCGGGCGCCGGUGGCCGUUGCGACCAGUCGAGCCUGCCUGGGUGAUUCUGCCCGACAUGGCUUACAUGCAUUUUCUGCGCAUCCCAUGACGGGUGCGAUCAUACCAGCACUAAAGCACC
rnacentral:misc_RNA from 1 species